CGGCUCAACUCUGGAGAGCGGCCGAUGCUCAGCAUGCGGCCCACCGAAGGGGCAGGCGGCCACGCCGCUAUCUCUCAGGUACCAAGGACAGAGGGGAAUGA
rnacentral:ncRNA from 2 species